rnacentral:rRNA from 1 species
AGCUCCAAUAGCGUAUAUUAAAGUUGUUGCAGUUAAAACGCUCGUAGUCGGACCUGGGAGCGCGCGCACGGGCCCGUCUUCCGACGGCGCCUGUGGGCUGCUGCUCCUAUUUCCGGUACGUGGGCCGUGGGGACUUCACUGUCUCUGCGUCACCCCGCGGGCCGGACGUUUACUGUGAAGAAAUUAGAGUGUUCAAAGCAGGCUAACGCCCUGAAUACGUGAGCAUGGAAUAAUAGAAUAGGACUUGGUCUCUAUUUUGUUGGUUUCCAGUGACCGAGUAAUGAUUAAUAGGGAUUGUUGGGGGCAUUCGUAUUUCAUUGUCAGAGGUGAAAUUCUUAGAUUGAUGGAAGACGAACAACUGCGAAAGCAUCUGCCAUGGAUGUUUUCA